GACGAACGCUGGCGGCGUGCUUAACACAUGCAAGUCGAACGGAAAGGCCUGCUUUCCCUUGUGGAUUGCGGGUACUCGAGUGGCGAACGGGUGAGUAACACGUGAGUGAUCUGCCCCCAACUUGGGUAUAAGCCUGGGAAACUGGGUCUAAUUCCCGAUAGGACUGCAGGGUGGUGCCUGUGGUGGAAAACGAUUUUCUAGUGGUUGGGGAUGAGCUCGCGGCCUAUCAGCUUGUUGGUGGAGUAAUGGCCUACCAAGGCGGCGACGGGUAGCCGGCCUGAGAGGGUGGACGGCCACAUUGGGACUGAGAUACGGCCCAGACUCCUACGGGAGGCAGCAGUGGGGAAUAUUGCACAAUGGGCGGAAGCCUGAUGCAGCGACGCCGCGUGGGGGAUGACGGCCUUCGGGUUGUAAACUCCUUUCGACCGCGAGGAAGCCACAUGGUUGGAAGGGUGGUGACGGUAGUGGUAGAAGAAGCACCGGCUAACUACGUG
rnacentral:rRNA from 1 species